rnacentral:lncRNA from 10 species
GACGGAAUUUUUUUCUCUCGUUGCCCAGGCUGGAGUGCAAUGGUGCGAUCUCAGCUCACUGCAACCUCUGCCUCCUGGGUUCAAGCGGUUCUCCUGUCUCAGCCUCCUGAGUAGCUGGAAUUAUAGGCACAUGACACCACGCCCAGCUAAUUUUUUUAUUUUUAUAUUUUUUAAUUUUUUUUAGUAGAGACGGAGUUUCAUCAUAUUGGUCAGGCUGGUCUCAAACUCUUGACCUCAGGUGAUCCACCCACCUUGGCUUCCCAAAGCGCUGGGAUUACAGGCAUGAGCCACCACGCCAGGCCUUGGGGGUCUCUUUAGGGAGAGGCCCCAUCCCCUCCUUUGUCCAGUCGGGAAUAUAAUACUUUUGAAGAUUACUGGGAAAGGGUUUUUGUUUUGAAAGCAGAAGAUGCACAUUCAGCCGGCAAAAAGCCUCCACUCCUGAACUGAUAAGAAGAAGGUAUGAAAAUCUUGAGAAAAACAGCUGUCAGGAGACUUCACAGUUAGACUUUUUGCCCUACCUUUGUCCUCCUGCAAGAGGUGAGAACACACAGCAUUCAAGGUGCCAUCUUGGAAGUGGAGAGCAGCCCUCACCAGACACCAAACCUAUUGGCCGUUGACCUUGGACUUCCCAGCCUCCAGAACUGUGAUAAAUACAUUUUUAUUAUUUACAAAUUACCUAGUUCAGGCAUUUUGUUAAAGAAGCACAAAUGGACUAAAAUAUAAGGAGCAAAAAAUUGACUUUGAAAAAGUCUACUGUAUCUUGUUUAGAGAAUAAAG